GACGAACGCUGGCGGCGUGCCUAACACAUGCAAGUCGAACGGAGAUUCAGAUGAAGCUUGCGAUUCUGAAUCUUAGUGGCGGACGGGUGAGUAACGCGUGGGUAAUCUGCCCUUAAGUGGGGGAUAACAGUCGGAAACGACUGCUAAUACCGCAUAAGCUGGCGGGAACACAUGUUUCUGUCAGGAAAGGUGGCCUCUUAACAAUGCUACCGCUUAAGGAUGAGCCCGCGUCUGAUUAGCUAGUAGGUGGGGUAAUGGCCUACCUAGGCGACGAUCAGUAGCCGGCCUGAGAGGGUGUACGGCCACACUGGAACUGAGACACGGACCAGACUCCUACGGGAGGCAGCAGUGGGGAAUAUUGCACAAUGGGGGAAACCCUGAUGCAGCGACGCCGCGUGAGCGAAGAAGGCCUUCGGGUCGUAAAGCUCUGUCCUAAGGGAAGAAACGGGCGGUACCUUAGGAGGAAGCCCCGGCUAACUACGUG
rnacentral:rRNA from 1 species